GUAACCCCGCCUUCCCACGCGCACCCCCUCCAGGCCCCGCCUCCACAUAGUAUUCAUAAGCCUGACUGGACACCGUGUCGAAACCCCGCCCAACGAGCCGUGACGUGGAGUUAAAACCAUGUACAGGGCUCACUCGGCCACGUGGGAGGCAGAACCCAUGUGCCAGUGCUGAGUAACCCAGCCGACCCAGGCAACAAGAAGGAAGCUCAGCAGUGCAGGUGGGAGGCUUUAUUUCAUUGUGGGGGGCUGGAUGGGGAAACAGGCGGGUGAAAGGGCAAGGUGCUGGGGGAACUGGGGGACCGCCCCCCAGUUGCAGAGGAGAAACUGAGGGCUGACCCUGUGAACAGGGUGGGGGCAGGGAGCUGGUCUAAAGGAGCAGGGGAGCCCCCCACUGGCUCCCUCCUUCCGGGCCGCACCUCACCACCCUCCCAGGACCUCAUCCCACUCGCCAGGCCUCGAGAUCCCAUCCUUGCUGCCCUGGCCUGGAGGAGGAGCUGGGCCAGGGCAGGCAGCAGGCAGGGAGCCUAGGGGAUGCAGGACAGGGUGGGGUUCAUGGUAUGCUGAGGUGGUAGUGGACACCUGGGUGAUCAGUUCCUGGCAGCGAUGACCACAGAGAGUGCCACACCCCCCAGAGCAACAGCAGUUGCCCCAAACAGCCACUUCCAUGGGA